CUUACCGAUGAGUUUCUCUUUAAAAUCGGUUAGAAUAUUUAAGUAAUAUUUACUAUAAAAAUAAAAUUACUAAAUCGGUUAUAAAUUUUAAAACAGUGAUGUGCUUUGUAAGUGUAAAACUUAUUGGUUGCAUUUAAAUAAAACAAUUACAAGAGCCAAAUAACUCGGUGCCAUCCACAAUAAUGGUUCGUUGGAUUUAAUGAUAUGGAAAAUAAUUAAUGUUCUGUUAAAAGGAAAACGUUUCAAGUUAUCUAAGUUACUACUUCAGUACUAAUAGAGAGCUGUAUUUUUGAACUGUGGAAUCCUUAUCGGGCGUAUGUUUGGCUCAAUAAUUUCUGGAAAAGUAAUAUGAACCAAGACUAAACACAAA